AUGUCGCCGCCAAGUUCGCCGGAGGAAGAAGCGCCGAGUUCGCCGGAGGAACAAGCGCCGAGUUCGCCGGAGGAACAAGAACGCCCGCCGAGUCCUGUGGUGCCUACACGAGAGGCCCUUAAGAUGAGUGAUGAACAUCCGUUGAGCCGUCCAAUGUUGCCUUUGGCAACUACACCAGAGCCGUCGUCUCCUUUGACUUCACCGCCAUCGUCUCCGUCGACUUCGCCGCAAGACAAUCUGCUACCGCCUCCGCCGAUUUUGCCGGAAGACCAUCAGCCGUCGCCUAGACCUACUUUGGUUCAGGUACUUUUGAAGCAUCUGAUGGGUCUCAUAUGUUUGUCAAAUCGCCAGUUUACUACAACAAAUAUAGCUAUUGCCGACAGUAGACUAUAUUUCACUUACAAGCAACACAUCAUGCACUCCUACAUAGAUGGAUUCUGUUUGUACUUGAAAGAAGCAGAGUAA
rnacentral:rRNA from 1 species